ACGACCUUACUUGAACAGGAUCUGUUCUAUAGGCUCGUACCGUUGCAUCCUUUACCAAUAAGGAGGCAAGCACUUCAGUCUGGUUGAUGCAUUCUGACCUCUGAGUCAGAGCGUGAUUAACGGCCUGGAUUCACCUGAUGGGUGCCAUCCGACGGCUGUAGAGGAUCGUUCCUGCCUGUUAACACUGGUUUAGGGUGGCUCAGAGGUUGUCUGACAGACU
rnacentral:snoRNA from 1 species